GAAAUUAUUAUGACGACUAUCUAUAAACCAUAAGAUGAAACGAUGAAAGAAAAAUCUUUUAAAAAAAACUAAGUGAACUGAAAUAUCCAAUUAACUUUAGGAAAAAAAAUCAAAUGAGAUUCUAUUUUUAAUGUGAAGUAAGGUAGAUUUUGGCUUAAAACUUUAAAUUUGUAAAUACAGUAUUAACAUGUGGGGAUAUACAAAAUCUGACCAUAUUGGAGUUUGGCCGGCGAAAUUAGGCCGUGUUACAAAAAAAUACAAUUUAUAAAUGAAGUUACAGUAAAACGGGUUAUCUGUUUGAAUAAAGGGGAACCUUCCUCUAAAGCUAAAUAUGGUUUUAUAAGUUAUAGAAAAAAUACCGUGAGGCUGUGUUUUUAAUAGUAAUUUUAUAAGCAGCUUGAGUAGUACUUAAAUGUGUAACAAAAGCGUACCUUUUGCAUAAUGGGUCGGCAAGUUAAUUUUAGAUGCAAGCAGAAUGUUGAUAAAAAACUAAAUAUGGAAACAAUAAACUGCCUAGAAAAUUCGAUUAAAAAAAAUGAAAAGUAUCUAAGAUUAGACCCGGAAACUGGUGAUCUUACUACUGUCAGGAUUACAAAAGUCCGUACGGGUUAUCGUUGUAUUGAUAUCCGAGGAAUGGUGGUAAGUUAGUGAAAGACAAUACUGACCAGUUUAGCUGGUUUUCCGCGAAACCUAUUUAAGUAGGUGGUUUAAAUUACAUCUUGGAAGGUACAGAACUGUGAUCUCGCUCAAAUAUACAUAAUAUGUAUGUUUGUUUAUAUCGGGGGAUCGUAAAGAUUUUAUCGGAGAGUAUUUGCACUCGGAAGGUCUAAGAUGAAUAUUAAAUUAUCGGACAUAGUACUAUAAGGUUGUAUGUCUAAAGGGAAACAGCCCAGAACAAGAAUUAAUAAGGUUCCAAAAUUAUUGUUGAGUGAAAUUAAGGAUGUAUUUUUUUAUACGAUCAGGGAAUAGGCUUAGAAGCGGCCAUUUUUUGAAGACCUCGUAACAGAGCACUGAUUUUUAGAAAAUUAUACCGAAAAUAUAACGGAUCUAAAUAAUAUACCGAAAUCUUGUCCAUAUAUUUAUAAAUAUAUGGGGUAGCGGAACAAUGGGUAAAUAUUAGAUUUGUUCUUUAAAAGAACAAAGAAUUAGAUGACCCAAGUGAUAAUGCCGAUAUGAGUAACGAAAAAGAAUAACUCGCCUAAAGCUUAUGGUAUGCAGAUAAAACGUUAUUAAUGCGGUUUCUAAGAUUUUAUUAUAUAGAGUUGAAAAACAUCUAGAUAUAAGGAACAUCUUGAUGAAUAACAUUAUAUAAUAAAUUGAUGAAUAUAAACAGAGACAAAAUUAAUAAAAGUUUUAUUAGUUCUGGAAAAUCUCUACUGAUCAGGUAUGUAUCUACUAACAUGAUCAGUAAUUAAUACCGUACCUAGAUACUAACACCAGUAAGCAAGUAGAGAAUACAAAGGCGUUUGAGUAAUCAAUCAUUAAGGAACUCGGCAAAUUGACUCACGUAACUUCGGGAUAAGGUGGGCCAUUCCCUUUAGGUUUUUUUCGUAAGUUUUCAUAUAGUUCUACUAGGUUUAAGCCUAAUAAAAAUUAAGGAAAAUGACAAGAUUAUGAUUAACCGGGGGAAUAGGAGGCAUGGAGUAGUGUUGUACGACUGUUUAUCUAAAACACAGCACUUUGCUAAGAUAUAAAUCGAAAUAUUGAGUGUGAUGUCUGCCCUGUGUCGGCUGGAUAACGAAUUUGCUUUUUUAUGGCUUUGAAGGAAACCCCGAUAAACGGCGGCCUUACCGAUGAGGGUCCUAAGGUAGCGGAAUACCCUGGCCGUUAAAUGCGGUCUUGCAUGAAUGAUUUAACGAUACAACAGCUGUCUCGAUGAUUGGCUCAGUGAAAUUG
rnacentral:ncRNA from 1 species